GGUUGAUCCUGCCAGUAGUCAUAUGCUCAUUUCGAAGACUAAGCCAUGCAUGUCUAAGUAUAAGUUGUUAUACAACGAAACUGCGAACAGCUCAUUAAAACAAUUAUAAAUCUAAGUGGAUUUUACUGCUACACGGAUACCUGUGGUAAUUCUGGAGCUAAUACGUGAUUAAACAUCCAUUUGGAUGUCACUUAUUAGAUAAGAACCAAACUGUGCUUGCGCAGAAUUCUGGUGAUCCAUAAUAAGGUCGUGAAUCGCAUGGUGAAUGCCGGCGAUAUUCCACCUGAGUUUUU
rnacentral:rRNA from 1 species